rnacentral:rRNA from 1 species
AGAGUUUGAUCCUGGCUCAGGACGAACGCUGGCGGCGUGCUUAACACAUGCAAGUCGAACGGAAAGGCCCUGCUUGCGGGGUACUCGAGUGGCGAGCGGGUGAGUAACACGUGGGUGAUCUGCCCUGCACUUCGGGAUAAGCUUGGGAAACUGGGUCUAAUACCGGAUAGGACCGCACUUUAGUGUGUGUGGUGGAAAGUUUUUUCGGUGUAGGAUGAGCUCGCGGCCUAUCAGCUUGUUGGUGGGGUAAUGGCCUACCAAGGCGGCGACGGGUAGCCGGCCUGAGAGGGUGUACGGCCACAUUGGGACUGAGAUACGGCCCAGACUCCUACGGGAGGCAGCAGUGGGGAAUAUUGCACAAUGGGCGCAAGCCUGAUGCAGCGACGCCGCGUGGGGGAUGAAGGCCUUCGGGUUGUAAACUCCUUUCGCUAGGGACGAAGCUUUUGUGACGGUACCUAGAUAAGAAGCACCGGCUAACUACGUGCCAGCAGCCGCGGUAAUACGUAGGGUGCGAGCGUUGUCCGGAAUUACUGGGCGUAAAGGGCUCGUAGGUGGUUUGUCGCGUCGUCUGUGAAAUUCUGGGGCUUAACUCCGGGCGUGCAGGCGAUACGGGCAUAACUUGAGUGCUGUAGGGGUAACUGGAAUUCCUGGUGUAGCGGUGAAAUGCGCAGAUAUCAGGAGGAACACCGAUGGCGAAGGCAGGUUACUGGGCAGUUACUGACGCUGAGGAGCGAAAGCAUGGGUAGCGAACAGGAUUAGAUACCCUAGUAGUCC